GAUUUCUGGCAGAAUUCAAGAGGCACAUUGAACAAAUGAUUCAAACUAUCAAUCGUGCUCCAAUUUACUCAGAAAUAUAUCAUUGGAAAGAUAUUUCAAUCUACUUUCAGAUAAAACAAGCUUCAUAUGAAUUGAACUGUCCAACAGAGAGUUACAAAUAAUUUGGUAAACAAGGGUCGGAGAACAAAAUCUCUGUUUGGCAGAAUUCAUAAGGUCAGAUUCAACAGAUAACUGAGCAGGUGUUUGGACUCCAAAAUUUUCAAUCCAUAUAUCAAAAGAAAGAUCUACGAGUCUAGUUUCUAAUGAAAUCAGUUUUGAACAAAUCGGAGUUUCCAAAAUCGACUUAUAGGCAGCUCGGUAUCAAAAGGUCAGAAAUUACAAUCCCUGUUUUGUAGAAUAUCUAGGCUCAUUUGAAACAGAAGUUUGGGCAGGCACACUUACUCCGAAUUCUUAAAAUAAGCUAUCAAAACAAAGGUUUGUGAGUCUAUAUUCUGAUCAAAUAAGUUUUGUCCAAAUCAGAGGUCAACACAUGAAGUUAUAACCAUAACAAGGUAGAAAGGUCAGAAUCUCAGAAGUUGCACAGAUUCGAAUCGUUACGUUUAAACAGGAGAUAUAUCAAAUGCAAGGCUAGAACAAUUCAAAGUUCCUCAUAUUCAAAGCAAAUGUAGAGAUAAAAUUGCAGUAAGGAAAGAUCAAGGUACUUGCAAUAGGAAAGAUUAGAAAGCUUGCAAUAGGAAGGAUCGGAACACUUGCCUUUCAAAGAUUUUGAUCCGAAGAUCCAAAGAAGGUGUCAACCCAAAUCCUUCUACUUUUCCUCCGUGUCCUCUCCCUGUUUCGUGUUCUACAUAUGUCUUCUCUUUUUCCUCCACAACUGUAGCUCAUGCAGAACAUAGAGGCAUAGUCACCUGCUCUCUCUUACUCUCAUUCCUUCGUUUUCUUUUUCAAACGCAGU
rnacentral:lncRNA from 1 species